ensembl:lncRNA LINC00665 long intergenic non-protein coding RNA 665
AAAGUGGGAAGUGUGAGUCCUCAGUCUUGGGCUAUUCGGCCACGUGCCUGCCGGACAUGGGACGCUGGAGGGUCAGCAGCGUGGAGUCCUGGCCUUUUGCGUCCACGGGUGGGAAAUUGGCCAUUGCCACGGCGGGAACUGGGACUCAGGCUGCCCCCCGGCCGUUUCUCAUCCGUCCACCGGACUCGUGGGCGCUCGCACUGGCGCUGAUGUAGUUUCCUGACCUCUGACCCGUAUUGUCUCCAGAUUAAAGGUACGACAUUUGGAGGCCCCAGCGAGAAACGUCACCGGGAGAAACGUCACCGGGCGAGAGCCGGGCCCGCUGUGUGCUCCCCCGGAAGGACAGCCAGCUUGUAGGGGGGAGUGCCACCUGAAAAAAAAAUUUCCAGGUCCCCAAAGGGUGACCGUCUUCCGGAGGACAGCGGAUCGACUACCAUGUGGGUGCCCACAAAAAUUCCACCUCUGAGUCCUCAACUGCUGACCCCGGGGUCAGGUCCAGAUUUUGAACAAAUCUCGCUAGAGAUUGAACAGAGCUGCGCCUGGAUCCCGCCACAGUGAGGAGACCUGAAGACCAGAGAAAACACAGCAAUUCCUCCCCUAACCUGGUGCUAAAUUAGAUCAUAGUGUGGUCCUUGGACCAACAGUAUCAAUAGCACCUGAAAAUCAUGCUGGAAAUACAGAUUCACAGGCUGCUCCCUAGAAUACUGAAGAAGAAACUCUAGGAGUGAGACCCAACAAUCUGUAUUUAACAAGUCCCCAGGCCCCUGGAUCCUCCUGGAAUCCCCGAUCCCUCUUGCUCCCUGGCAGAGUUUUCUAGUCCCUCUUACUUGAAGCAUGUCUUUCAGAGCCCGGCACCACCCAUCUUGAGUAUCUGGUGAGUUCUGUGGUCUGCAUGUCCAUGUUUGGGACAUUCUGGGAAGGGUGGCCCAGGCUGUGAUUUGCCAUCUACUGCAGGCUAUGGAUGGUAUUCAGAAGGGAGGGGAGAUGCUGUGUGCGUGUUCUGAAGGGUUUCCCACUAAACAGAUCAACCCUCUCCAUAACUAUUUGAUUUUUACUUUAUCUCCUCGUUGACUUCACAGUGUCAGUGCAGUUUGUGUAAACAUCUCUAUGGGGUGAUGCAUGCAGAUAAAUGUUUAUGUGAACAUAUAAAGUCUGCAUGUGUGGGUGAACACUCCACAUCAGGUCAUUGUCCAUCAUUACAUAUCUGUGGUGUCUGGCUCAUUCGUCUCGUUUUCUGUCAUUUUACCUACUUUUACCUGAAGUACAAUGACUAUUUAAUAACUAUUAAAUGUUUCAUUUCAGCUACACCUCUAUGGUAUUUUUUUCACCUCAUAUCAUACCUUCCUCCCUCACUGGACUUCAGUGUGGGACCUGCAGGUCUCAGGCCUUCUGGGAAGUCCCAGCUUUUCUUGAAUGUUUUCUCUCUCUGGCCAGCUCAGGCUGGAGCAGUGGGUGUUGGUGCCAUCCUGUGGCUAUAGGUGAUAAGCCGGCUGUUCUUCACUGACCUGGUCUUACCUUGAACCCUGGAGUUCUCACAUGCAUGGAUUUAAAUGCUGUGUCUUUCUAAGGGCACAUUAUGGCCAUUUUCCUUAUCUCCCUCCCAAGGGGCUGUUUGCUGUGUUUAUUGACUCCCUGUUUAAAAAACAUAUAUAUAUAU